GGGGGUAUAGCUCAGGGGUGGAGCAUUUGACUGCAGAUCAAGAGGUCCCUGGUUCAAAUCCAGGUGCCCCCC
rnacentral:tRNA from 1 species